GACGAACGCUGGAGGCGUGCUUAACACAUGCAAGUCGAACGAUGAAAUGGAGCUUGCUCCAUGGAUUAGUGGCGAACGGGUGAGUAACACGUGAAUAACCUGCCCUUAAUUUUGGAAUAACCCAGGGAAACCUGGGCUAAUACCGGAUAAGUAAACCUGUGGCAUCACAUGGUUUUGGAAAGUUUUUCGAUUAAGGAUGGAUUCGCGGCCUAUCAGCUUGUUGGUGAGGUAAUGUCUCACCAAGGCGACGACGGGUAGCCGGCCUGAGAGGGUGAAGGGCCACACUGGGACUGAGACACGGCCCAGACUCCUACGGGAGGCAGCGGUGGGGAAUAUUGCGCAAUGGACGAAAGUCUGACGCAGCGACGCCUCGUGAGGGACGAAGGUCUUCGGAUUGUAAACCUCUUUCAGCAGGGACGAAGCGAAAGUGACGGUACCUGCAGAAGAAGCACCGGCUAACUAUGUGCCAGCCGCCGCCGUAA
rnacentral:rRNA from 1 species